AUGUCGUCCUCCUCCGGCGCUUCCCAGCUUGGUCUUAGUGGCCAGGUUACAGAGAAGCUAUCCCGCACAAAUUACAUCCUCUGGCGCACGCAGGUCACACCGCAGCUCAGAGGUGCAGACGUCUUCGGCUACGUCGACGGCAGUUCACCGGAGCCGGCCAUGAUCCUCUCCACCAAGGACAAGGAUGGGAAGGAAUCCACCGAGCCAAACCCUCUCCAUCCCAUCUGGGUGCGGGAGGAUCAGCAGGUGCUUGGGUACCUACUGAACAAUCUCACCAAGGAGGUGCUCGUGCAGGUGACCGCGAUCACCACGGCGCACGGGCUCUGGGCGACGCUGUCAGGCAUGUUCUCCUCACAGUCGCUUAGCUGCAUCAACAACAUCAGAACAUCUCUGGUGAACGCCCAGAAGGGCAACAAAAUCGUCACCACCUACUUUGCCGAGAUGCGCGGCUUCGCUGAUGAGCUCGCCGCCGCCGGGAAGCCACUCUAG
rnacentral:rRNA from 1 species